rnacentral:rRNA from 1 species
CCUACGGGGGGCUGCAGUGGGGAAUAUUGGACAAUGGGGGGAACCCUGAUCCAGCGACGCCGCGUGAGUGAAGAAGUAUUUCGGUAUGUAAAGCUCUAUCGGCAGGGAAGAAAGAAAUGACGGUACCUGACUAAGAAGCCCCGGCUAACUACGUGCCAGCAGCCGCGGUAAUCCGUAGGGGGCAAGCGUUAUCCGGAUUUACGGGGUGUAAAGGGAGCGUAGACGGCGAUGCAAGUCUGAAGUGAAAGGCGGGGGCCCAACCCCCGGACUGCUUUGGAAACUGUAUGGCUGGAGUGCAGGGGUGGUAAGUGGAAUUCCUAGUGUAGCGGUGAAAUGCGUAGAUAUUAGGAGGAACACCAGUGGCGAAGGCGGCUUACUGGACUGUAACUGACGUUGAGGCUCGAAAGCGUGGGGAGCAAACAGGAUUAGAUACCCGAGUAGUC